rnacentral:rRNA from 1 species
AGCGAACGCUGGCGGCAGGCCUAACACAUGCAAGUCGAACGAACUCUUCGGAGUUAGUGGCGGACGGGUGAGUAACACGUGGGAACGUGCCUUUAGGUUCGGAAUAACUCAGGGAAACUUGUGCUAAUACCGAAUGUGCCCUUCGGGGGAAAGAUUUAUCGCCUUUAGAGCGGCCCGCGUCUGAUUAGCUAGUUGGUGAGGUAAAGGCUCACCAAGGCGACGAUCAGUAGCUGGUCUGAGAGGAUGAUCAGCCACAUUGGGACUGAGACACGGCCCAAACUCCUACGGGAGGCAGCAGUGGGGAAUCUUGCGCAAUGGGCGAAAGCCUGACGCAGCCAUGACGCGUGAAUGAUGAAGGUCUUAGGAUUGUAAAAUUCUUUCACCGGGGACGAUAAUGACGGUACCCGGAGAAGAAGCCCCGGCUAACUUCGUG